AUCCCAUAUGACCACCAGAGUUAAGUAACAUUGAACCUUGUCAGUACCUAGAUGGGUGACCACUUGGGAAUACCUGGUGUUGUAAG